GGACAUGGCUCAGGUGAAGGCGGAGGAAACCGGUGCGGAGAAGCGGGAGAAGACCGGGCACGCGCGCCUCCACAGACGGGCAGAGAAAGGCGGAGAGGAGCCGAGUUCACCUUCACUGACAGCGCCGCGGAGGGACGACCUGAAGCGUUUGAUGAAUCGCCCCAGUUUCACUCCGGCAAAGGGUCCACUUCCAGCCCCCCCAUGGUGAACGUCCUGUGUUUUUGUACCAAUGAAGUGUGUCUCUAAAACACUCUUAUACCUGCAGCUUUUUCCAUUCAUUCAGUCCAGAGCAGAAACUUCCAGCAGCUCAGAUCCAUGAGUAAAGAUCUGGAGCAUCACCGUCUAACCGUUACCGUAACUCAUGUUUACUGUUGGAAAAGCCUUCUAAACACUAAACAUCUCCCCGCGCCACGCUGUCGCCUCCUCUCCACGCACCUCCACCUCUCUACCUUCAGCUCUUCAGAGACACUCUGGUGGAGCAUCAACAGUGUUGGGUUUCAACGGGGGUGGGGGGCUAAUGCUCAGCUGGUUGAGUCAGAUGAUGAACCGCGGCCCCCCGUCUGCAGGCCGGACCGGACCUCGAUGGAGCUUCUCGGGGGGGUUGAAAGGUUAAAGCUGGGGUUCUGCACGUCCUCAGCAGCCAAAGCGUCCGACCCCGUCCUCCGAGUCAAGUUCAGCCCUGUUGCCCCAUCAGUGCCUGCAGGGGGGGUCUGGCGUGGGGGUCUGUUGGUGUUUGGGGGGAUUUGUUAUCAGCUCAGUAAUUAUCAGAUUUGUCGCCCCCCCCCAAACACAUCAGCAUUAACCAGCUCUGCUGCCAAAGCCCGGCUGAGAGGAGAGUGGUCGGGGGGGACGAGUUGACAGGCCGACCCCCGGGGAAGACGAUAACCAGCGUCCCCCUGACAGCUGCUUAGUGUUGGGUCCUUCCUGCUGGAGCUCAGAGACGCAAACACUCUCUGAGGAACAUGUGAAGAAACACCAAAGAAUGCAUUUAAGCGGCAAAUAUUCCAAACUUUGGCUGCAGAGAUAACCGCAGAGCCAAACACUGCGCAGACGGCUGAAUCACCACCAGCUUAAAGCCCUCCGCGGUCCUGCAUGAGAAGAUAAUCCGUUCGCCUCAACACAUUCUCGCUCUGCUGUUCCUCAAACCUCGAUGAGCUGUUCAAGAAGACUCAACGUUUUCCUGAACUUUGUCCUCUUUAAUCACAAAGUCAAAGAAAAAGACGUUAAAGCAGCUAAAUUAUUGUUGCCUAAAAUGUUUCCUUCAACAAAGUGACUGAAGAGGAUGUGAUUUACUGCUGUUUCCCUCAGAGUGAGUUUCACUGAACCCAAACUGUGAUGGGAAACAUCUCCAGGACAAGCUCAGCGAAUCCUGUCUGUGUGUGUUUACAUCUAUUCACAAUCAGAACCAGUUUUAUUGGUCAGAAAUGAGCUCACAGAGACGCCGAGCCUAAAGUAUGCAAACAUCGACUGUAUAACAGAACUGGACUGAGUCAGCGCGGCGUCAGAAAACGGUUUACUUCUGGCUCCAACCAAAUCAAGUUAAUUCAGUCGCCAUUUCUUCAUGAGACAGACGCCACCGUGUUGGAGACACUUCCUGCUUGGAACGGCAGGUGGGCGGGGUCACUCGGUCAAUUUCUCAAAUAGUCAAUAGUCAACUCUGUAGUCCGUCUGGGGGCAGAUCCAAACCGGACUGCAGUGGUCGCGGUCAGAACCGACUGUUGCUAACUGACAUUGCUAACAUUUAAUGGAAUUUCCCAUAGGAUGACUGAUGGUAACAAACAUAAAUUCACUAAACACUAAAGGAACAUUUUAUAAACUCACAGGAAAUAUUUGUUAAAGUAACAAUUUGUGGUCUAAAACGUCAUUUUUUGCUCAUACUUUCUUCUUCUUCUGGAAUAAAGUGUAAUCCUGUCGGGUG